AGAGUUUGAUUAUGGCUCAGGAUUAACGCUGGCGGCAUGCCUAAUACAUGCAAGUCGAAUGGGGAGCUUGCUUCCCAUGGCGAACGGGUGAGUAAUACGUAGGUAACCUACCUUUAGGACGAGGAUAACCUUUGGAAACGAAGGAUAAUACUGGAUAGUAUAGAUUUCCGCAUGGAGAUAUAUUUAAAGAUUUAUCACCUAGAGAGGGGCCUGCGGUGCAUUAGCUAGUUGGCGGGAUAAAGCCCACCAAGGCGAUGAUGCAUAGCCGGACUGAGAGGUUGUACGGCCACAAUGGAACUGAGAACGGUCCAUACUCCUACGGGAGGCAGCAGUAGGGAAUUUUCGGCAAUGGGCGGAAGCCUGACCGAGCAAAUGCCGCGUGAAUGAUGAAGUAUUUCGGUAUGUAAAGUUCUUUUAUCUAGGAAGAAAAACAAAUUGACGGUACUAGAUGAAUAAGCUCCGGCUAACUACGUGCCAGCCGCAGC
rnacentral:rRNA from 1 species